rnacentral:rRNA from 1 species
AACGAACGCUGGCGGCAUGCUUAACACAUGCAAGUCGAACGAGACCUUCGGGUCUAGUGGCGCACGGGUGCGUAACGCGUGGGAAUCUGCCCUUAGGUACGGAAUAACUCAGAGAAAUUUGUGCUAAUACCGUAUGAUGUCGAAAGACCAAAGAUUUAUCGCCUAAGGAUGAGCCCGCGUCUGAUUAGCUAGUUGGUGAGGUAAUGGCUCACCAAGGCUACGAUCAGUAGCUGAUCUGAGAGAAUGAUCAGCCACAUUGGGACUGAGACACGGCCCAAACUCCUACGGGAGGCAGCAGUGGGGAAUAUUGGACAAUGGGCGCAAGCCUGAUCCAGCCAUGCCGCGUGAGUGAUGAAGGCCUUCGGGUUGUAAAGCUCUUUUGUCCGGGAAGAUAAUGACUGUACCGGAAGAAUAAGCCCCGGCAAACUUCGUG